rnacentral:ncRNA from 1 species
UAUUGGGGCGCCGCGCGCGUGCGCGGCUGAGAAGCACCCAUUGAACCUGAUCCGGGUCAUACCGGCGUAGGAAAUUAC